rfam:Capsicum annuum cultivar Zunla-1 chromosome 10, whole genome shotgun sequence
UGCUGAUGAUGUGGAAAGUCCCAAAUAAGAUCUUUGAACUUCUCCUAUGCAUGAUAUAAGUUCUCAUUUGGCUUCUGUUUGAAUCAAAUAAUCUUAUAACGCAGUCU